UUAUACGAGAGGCCCAAGUUGACUGAGAACGGCGUAAAGAGUGGUUAAUGAAAUUAAACUAAAAUAGGGUCGAAAUGCCUCAAAACAGUUGAAUGUACUCGAGGCCAUGAAGAACAACUACGAAAGUGCCCCUACCAAGUCAUGAACCCACGAAAGCCACAAUACAAACUGGGAUUAGAUACCCCACUAUGUGUGGUCCUCAACAUCGAUAAUCACUAUACUUAGAUUAUCCGCCCGGGA
rnacentral:rRNA from 1 species